CUUCGGAACAGAGAGAGCGGCGUACGGGUGCGGAACACGUGUGCAACCUGCCUUUAUCUGGGGGAUAGCCUUUCGAAAGGAAGAUUAAUACCCCAUAAUAUACUGGAUGGCAUCAUUCGGUAUUGAAAACUCCGGUGGAUAGAGAUGGGCACGCGCAAGAUUAGAUAGUUGGUGAGGUAACGGCUCACCAAGUCUGCGAUCUUUAGGGGGCCUGAGAGGGUGAUCCCCCACACUGGUACUGAGACACGGACCAGACUCCUACGGGAGGCAGCAGUGAGGAAUAUUGGACAAUGGGUGAGAGCCUGAUCCAGCCAUCCCGCGUGAAGGACGACGGCCCUAUGGGUUGUAAACUUCUUUUGUAUAGGGAUAAACCUACUCUCGUGAGAGUAGCUGAAGGUACUAUACGAAUAAGCACCGGCUAACUCCGUGCCAGCAGCCGCGGUAAUACGGAGGGUGCAAGCGUUAUCCGGAUUUAUUGGGUUUAAAGGGUCCGUAGGCGGAUCUGUAAGUCAGUGGUGAAAUCUCACAGCUUAACUGUGAAACUGCCAUUGAUACUGCAGGUCUUGAGUGUUAUUGAAGUAGCUGGAAUAAGUAGUGUAGCGGUGAAAUGCAUAGAUAUUACUUAGAACACCAAUUGCGAAGGCAGGUUACUAAGCAACAACUGACGCUGAUGGA
rnacentral:rRNA from 1 species